GAUUAACGCUAGCGGCAGGCCUAAUACAUGCAAGUUGUACGGGAUUAUUGGUAGCAAUACUGAUAUGAGAGUAGCGCACGGGUGCGUAACACGUAUGCAACCUACCUUUAACUGGGGAAUAGCCUUCCGAAAGGAAGAUUAAUACCGCAUAACAUUGCGAAACGACAUCGUUUUGCAAUUAAACCUACGGGGGUUAGAGAUGGGCAUGCGUCCGAUUAGCUAGUUGGCGGGGUAAUAGCCCACCAAGGCAACGAUCGGUAGGGGGUCUGAGAGGAUGAUCCCCACACUGGUACUGAGACACGGACCAGACUCCUACGGGAGGCAGCAGUAAGGAAUAUUGGACAAUGGGGGCAACCCUGAAUCCAGCCAUGCCGCGUGAAGGAUGAAGGCCCUAUGGGU
rnacentral:rRNA from 1 species